AUGUCAUUCUCUUUCCACUUUUUUCGCUCCCCAGGGAUGGCAGGAAACCUGAGGGGAAUGAAUUCUACGGCAUUUAGAGAGAUGUUUGGCAUAUUCAGACAUGGUUGUUUUAAUCCAAAGUUUAAGAAAGAUGGGGACCGGGAGGGAGACUAUACAAAGAAGACAGGAAGUCAGACUACUGGAAGUUUCCUCAGGCUCGCCACGGGGGAGGAUGCAGCUGCCUUCCACGUGGCCGUUCC
rnacentral:lncRNA from 1 species